rnacentral:rRNA from 1 species
UACGGAGGAUCCGAGCGUUAUCCGGAUUUAUUGGGUUUAAAGGGUGCGCAGGCGGGAGAUUAAGUCGGCGGUGAAAUUUUGCAGCUCAACUGUAAAAGUGCCUUCGAAACUGGUUUCCUUGAGUGUAGAUGAAGUAGGCGGAAUUUGUGGUGUAGCGGUGAAAUGCAUAGAUAUCACGAGGAACUCCGAUUGCGCAGGCAGCUUACUAAACUACUACUGACGCUCAGGCACGAAUGCGUGGGGAUCAAACAGGAUUAGAUACCCCU